UCGGGUGUGGUGUAAAGCGCACGGCAGCUAAUAUUGAUCGUUACGGAAGCAUAGGUCGUUUAAGCUGCAGGACGGGGUUCGAUUCCCUGCACCCGAA